rnacentral:rRNA from 1 species
GUCUACGGCCAUGCCACCCCUGAACAUGCCCCAUCUCAUCUGAUCUCAGAAACUAAGCAGGGUCAGGCCUGGUUAGUACUUCGAUGGGAGACCAGCUAGGAAUACCAGGCGCUGUAGGCG